rnacentral:rRNA from 1 species
CCCGCUGAACUUAAGCAUAUCAAUAAGCGGAGGAAAAGAAACUAACAAGGAUUCCCCUAGUAACUGCGAGUGAAGCGGGAAAAGCUCAAAUUUAAAAUCUGGCGGUCUCGCGGCCGUCCGAGUUGUAAUCUGGAGAAGCGUUUUCCGCGUCGGACCGUGCACAAGUCUCCUGGAACGGAGCGUCGUAGAGGGUGAGAAUCCCGUCUUUGGCACGGACACACCAGGGCUUUUGCGAUGCGCUCUCGAAGAGUCGAGUUGUUUGGGAAUGCAGCUCAAAAUGGGUGGUGAACUCCAUCUAAAGCUAAAUAUUGGCGAGAGACCGAUAGCGAACAAGUACCGUGAGGGAAAGAUGAAAAGCACUUUGGAAAGAGAGUGAAACAGUACGUGAAAUUGUUGAAAGGGAAACGCUUGAAGUCAGUCGCGUCGUCCGAGACUCAGCCUCGCCUCGGCUUGGCGUACUUCUCGGCCCGACGGGUCAGCAUCAAUUUCGCCUCUCGGAUAAUGGCGAGGGAAAAGUGACACCUUUACGGUGUGUUAUAGUCUCUCGUCGCAUGCGAGGGUCGGGAUUGAGGGACUCAGCACGCGCCCUCGGGCGUCGGGGCUUUCGCCCACGAUACGUGCUUAGGAUGUUGGCGUAAUGGCUUUAAACGACCCGUCUUGAAACACGG